UCAUUGAAAAGAGAGAGAGAGAGAAAGAGAGAGCUGUCCAUUUCCAUAGCCUUAGGAGGAGAUUGGAAGGAGAAGAAAGGCAGGGAUGGAGGAGUCAUUGACCAUAGAUUUUCUAGACUUUGAAAACUCCGAAACACCCUCAUCUCUGAGGACUUUUUAUUCUUCUUCUUCUUCUUCUUCUUUGAUCUCUUCCUCUGUCUCUAAUAUUAUUGUUUAAUUAAUUUAAAAUAUAAUCUCAUCAUCGACUUCUUCUUUGCCUUUGAUUUCUGAACACCCCCUCAACCAGCUGCACUGCUCUUUAACACCAACAAUCCAGAUCAGUUUGUUCUUUUUUUUUUGAACCAAGUAAGGAAAACCCGAGAUGAGCAAUAAAUUCUACCCCUUUUUUUUUUUUUUUUUUUGAGUGUGUUCGAUUUGGUUUUUAAUUGUUUUGGAGAUGACCCAAUUGAGGAUUUUGUCUUGAUUGUUUGGAUUUCUUGGAACACCCUUUUGGAAGAAUUUUUGGUGGGAGUUAAUGUUUGCUCUAUUAUAACUACUGUGUGUUUUGGUGGGUGUUGGGUUGGUUGGUGUCACUUGUAUACCAAUAUAUAUAGGUUUCUCUGCUUUCCUUCUGUAUUUUUUAUGUCAAAGGAGCUGCUAAUGUAUUUUUGAAAAGAGAAAUUAAAAGCCUUUGUAAAUACUUGUCUAUAUGUGUAUGUCUUUUUGCCGUUUCCAUUUCCAACAUCAAAUUUUGUUUGUCAUGUAAAUCCAACUCAAAGAACUCUUCUUUUUUUUUUUUUUCUUUUUUUUUUUUAUUAUUCAUUUUCAUUGCAUUACUCGUUUGCAGAAUAUAAAGUGAAAAAUUGUCUUUUCUGAGAUCUAAUUCAAAUACUUUAACGUGUCUUUGCUUGCCAUUAGCAAAACCUGAGAGACAGCCUACCACAAGAUAUUUGGUGUCGGAUUCAGAAAAAAGAGAUUUUGAAUCUGGGAAGUUACUUUGAUCCUUGAGGAUGGCUGAGGUGCAAGAUCAAUUGGAGAUUAAGUUUCGAUUGACUGAUGGAUCAGAUAUUGGUCCCAAAAGUUUUCCUGCAGCUACAAGUAUUGCGUCCUUGAAGGAAAGCAUACUUACUCAAUGGCCUAAAGAGAAGGAGAAUGGUCCAAGGACAGUAAAAGAUGUGAAGUUAAUAAGUGCUGGAAAAAUAUUGGAAAACAAUAAGACAGUUGGGGAGUGUCGAAGCCCAUUAUGUGAUAUACCAGGCGGAGUUACAACCAUGCAUGUUGUUGUUCAAACACCAUUAGUGGAGAAAGAAAAGAAGGCAUCAAGCCAACCAAAGGAGAACAAGUGCGUCUGUGUUAUAUUAUAAUUUUCAAUUCAAACGGUGGGGAUGGCAUCAUUUAGGUAAAAAGAGUUGGAGGAGUUAGUAAAAAGAUAGUGAAGACAGUGAAAUUGUUGAUUUAAGCAGCACUUUUUAGAAUCAUGCUCUGUUUAUGGUCGAUGACAUUUUGGUUCAGAACGGAGACGCUAAAAUCUCUCAGAGUAUGUUGCCACAUAUUAUAUAAUGUAAAUUAUGCCAUGACAAAUUGGAAUGUAAUUUUUGGCCUUAUAUAAUCAUGUAUGUCUUAAUGAAAGUGGAAUAGAGCAAUUCUGUUUCAAAA